rnacentral:rRNA from 1 species
UAGGGAAUCUUCGGCAAUGGACGAAAGUCUGACCGAGCAACGCCGCGUGAGUGAAGAAGGUUUUCGGAUCGUAAAACUCUGUUGUUAGAGAAGAACAAGGACGUUAGUAACUGAACGUCCCCUGACGGUACCUAACCAGAAAGCCACGGCUAACUACGUGCCAGCAGCCGCGGUAAUACGGAGGUGGCAAGCGUUGUCCGGAUUUAUUGGGCGUAAAGCGAGCGCAGGCGGUUUCUUAAGUCUGAUGUGAAAGCCCCCGGCUCAACCGGGGAGGGUCAUUGGAAACUGGGAGACUUGAGUGCAGAAGAGGAGAGUGGAAUUCCAUGUGUAGCGGUGAAAUGCGUAGAUAUAUGGAGGAACACCAGUGGCGAAGGCGGCUCUCUGGUCUGUAACUGACGCUGAGGCUCGAAAGCGUGGGGAGCAAACAGG